rnacentral:rRNA from 1 species
AUUGAACGCUGGCGGCAGGCUUAACACAUGCAAGUCGAGCGGUAACAGGGGUAGCUUGCUACCCGCUGACGAGCGGCGGACGGGUGAGUAAUGCAUAGGAAACUGCCCAGUAGUGGGGGAUAGCCCGGGGAAACCCGGAUUAAUACCGCAUACGUCCUUCGGAGAAGACGAGGGAGUCGUUCGGACCGUUGCGCUAUUGGAUGUGCCU